AAAUAGAACUUUGCAGAGAGAGUUAAGAGGGCGUGAACCGUUAAUUGGCAAACGAAUCGGAGCCACGAAGUCGUUUCGUAGUUGAGUUUGGAGGAAUUUAACUUAAGGUGGGUAAAAACCAUUUGGGUGGUUUUCCCCGUUGGGGCCAUUUUUGUAAGCGUACACUGCAACCAGUUAAACAAUUGGUGAUGGGCACAGUUGUUUUGGUUGGUGGGGCCUCACGGUUCUCUGGCCAGGAUAACGAAGCAUUUGUCUGCUCAAGUUAGUAGUAGCUGUUUAAAUGGUUUACCGUUUAUUUGGUUGCUGGACUUGUGGUAGGUGAACUAUGAACCAAAUACUGACUGGCAAAAUGAAAAUCGCCCCCUAGUGGGUGUUGCAUAAAAGGCGACCUGUUGCACUAGUGCCUACACUGUUUGACCAGGUGGUCUUUAAGCUUGGUAGUUUUGAAUUUAAACUUGCUAGCUACCAUUGGGGCAACUCGUGGUGCUAGUAUAGCUUCUAUCUAAUCGGCUGCCGACUUGGCCGCUUGUUGUUCGGGCGUGCUACAAUAGGGCGCUAGUGUGAGCAUUGGUUUGCUAAAAUUGGCAGUGAGUAGGUCGGCUUUCCAAACGACCCGUCUUGAAACACGGACCAAGGAGUCUAAUUAGGCAUCGAGUCGAUCGGUCUUGAUAGGCCAGAUAGUUGGUACUUGUUACUCAAUGAAUGAAGGCGUAGAGAAAUCAAAUCAUGUGAUCGCCGGUGGUUAUACCAAGCCAUGGCGCGCAACAUGUGCCUGUUCUCAAGAGAAUGUUAGCAAUAACUUUUCGAGCGGAGCAAAGAGAUGCCUGAUUGGUACCCGAAAGAUGGUGAACUAUGCCUGGGCAAAUUGAAGCCAGAGGAAACUCUGGUGGAGGAUUGUAGCGAUUCUGACGUGCAAAUCGAUCGUCAGACCUGGGUAUAGGGGCGAAAGACUAAUCGAACCAUC
rnacentral:rRNA from 1 species